rnacentral:tRNA from 1 species
CUUUGCCUGGGGUGUGGUGGCCUAUAACGUCCUCGUCGUCAUCGAUGGCGUGGCCGUGCGCGCUACCGGUUCAGGCGCCGGCUGCGGAGA